GAACUAAAGAAAGAAAGGAAAAUAAAUGAAAAUACUUUUUCUUUACUCUUGGUUUUUUUUACUCUCUGCCUUUGCAAACCCUAAAUUUUUCUUUAUGGUGUUUUGAUUUGAAUGGAUUAUAUUUCACAAUGUAAUUGUUGAAUUGAAGGGGAAGAAGGAGAAGACUACAAGAUUUACGUGGUUCAGCCAAAGAAUGCUUACAUCCAUGGGAAGGAUCUCUUUCCUUAUGUUUAAAUAUGAGUACAAUGGAUUUUUAGUUCUCUUUUUCUUUUUUCUGUAUCUAAAGAAAUGUAUGUAAAAACUUAAAUCAUUUUUUUUAAUACACCUUUAUAUUUAUAGGUGUUUACAUAGAUAAAGAAAAAUAACAGAAAACUGAAAAAUAAUGUUAUUGGAAUUCAGUUUCUACAAAUCUCCACCUUGAAUCCUACCUGUAAUAGUUUUAGAGAUCCUUCCAACCUUUUGACUUUAUCAUCCUUUUUCACGUAAGUCGAAACCUACCAGUUCUAAGCAUUUCAGGAGCUUCAACUUUGAAACAACUUGGUGAGCAUGUCGGCAACAUUUUGCAGAGGCCUAAUUCCAAGUGCAAGAUAGCUUGAUGUGUAAAGCUUGGAGGGGAAGCAACCACGUCUCUUCUUGUUUAUUGCUGUACACGUGGACGAGAUUGCACAAAGUAAUUGUUGAAGAUGAAGCAAAAGAAGGAGAAGACUACAAGAUUUACAUGGUUCGGCCAAAGAAUGCCUACAUCCACCGGUUUAGAGAGGAGGUGUGACAGAUGAAGAUUCACCUAGUCAUCUACGUAAUUAAUAUGAAACCCUACCAUCUCGACUUGAAAGAUGAGCAACGGAACACUUUAAGUCAUUCGACCGUCACUAUGAAGGACACAUUGAAGAAAUAUUUUCAGAGACAAUGUACCGUGUUACAAGACCAAGACACGAAUUGAAAACAUUUCUAGUGAAGUGGAAAGGCCUCCCUAACGAAGAAAUCAGUUGAAACAACGCUGAAAACCUCAAGGAUGAUGCUCAACAAAUGGUUAAGUUCAAACAAAGUCAGUUGACAAGGACGCAACCAAUUAGGUGGGAGAGAAUGUCAUGGUCAUACUUGUCCAAGGCAUGUUGUCUGUGGCCACAUACCACUCCGAUACCUUUUACGGUUGUUUUCAUUGUAUUUUAGUUUCUCUAUAUUUUUUUUGUAAGUGACAGCUCGCACAUUAGUAUAUGCAAGCUUCUCACAUCUCUUUUGGUUUAUAAUAUACUACAUGAUGUUAAGAUACCUUUAUACCUACGAGUUAUAAGAUAUAAAACUAUUGUUGUCCC